UUCAGUGUCCUGCGCAGAGCUCUGACCUCGAGUCCAAUAAACACCUUUGGAAUGAAUUGAGACUGCAAUUGCAAACCAGGCCUUCUCAACCAAUCACUGCCCAACCUUACAAAUGCUCUUCUGACUGAAUGGGAUGAAAUUCUCACAGACACCCCUCAUCCUAAUGCCAACAGUUUUGGAUUGGGAUGUCCAGCAAUCAAAUGGGCAUAUCCAAGUACCCGCCUCCACCCCUGACCGAGAGGAGUAGUCAAUCAUUCACUUACCACUUCAGGGUCGUGGUGGGUCUGGUGCCAUCUGGAAACACCUGUCACAAGGCCAGGGUUCUCUCAUCUGAAAGGCUGAUGGGGAUUCCCAGGUAUCAGCUUUAAGAUGAGAGGUGAAACGUCUUCAAGAACCUUACAUGAAAUCCAGACUACUACGACCUUGAUGACUGAGAACCUACAUGGACAAAGUCAAAUGACAUUCUGAGUACACAUUUAAGUGUGUAUAUGCAACUAUAACA